GAUGAACGCUGGCGGCGUGCCUAACACAUGCAAGUCGAGCGAAGCACUUACUUUAGAUUUCUUCGGAAUGACGAAGUUUGUGACUGAGCGGCGGACGGGUGAGUAACGCGUGGGCAACCUGCCCUGUACAGGGGGAUAACAGUUAGAAAUGACUGCUAAUACCGCAUAAGCCCACAGCUUCGCAUGAAGCAGUGGGAAAAACUCCGGUGGUACAGGAUGGGCCCGCGUCUGAUUAGCUAGUUGGUAAGGUAACGGCUUACCAAGGCGACGAUCAGUAGCCGACCUGAGAGGGUGACCGGCCACAUUGGGACUGAGACACGGCCCAAACUCCUACGGGAGGCAGCAGUGGGGAAUAUUGCACAAGGGGGGAAACCCUGAUGCAGCGACGCCGCGUGAGCGAUGAAGUAUUGCGGUAUGUAAAGCUCUAUCAGCAGGGAAGAAAGUGACGGUACCUGACUAAGAAGCCCCGGCUAACUACGUG
rnacentral:rRNA from 1 species